rnacentral:rRNA from 1 species
AUUGAACGCUGGCGGCAUGCCUUACUCAUGCAAGUCGAACGGCAGCACGGGAGCAAUCCUGGUGGCGAGUGGCGAACGGGUGAGUAAAGUAUCGGAACGUGCCCAGUCGUGGGGGAUAACGUAGCGAAAGUUACGCUAAUACCGCAUACGAUCCAUGGAUGAAAGCGGGGGAUCGCAAGCCCGCGCGCGAUGGGAGGGGCCGAUAUCAGAUGAGGUAGUUGGUGGGGUAAAGGCUCACCAAGCCGACGAUCUGUAGCUGGUCUGAGAGGACGACCAGCCACACUGGAACUGAGACACGGCCCAGACUCCUACGGGAGGCAGCAGUGGGGAAUUUUGGACAAUGGGCGAAAGCCUGAUCCAGCCAUGCCGCGUGCAGGAUGAAGGCCUUCGGGUUGUAAACUGCUUUUGUACGGAACGAAAAGGUUUGGCCUAAUAAGCUGAGCUCAUGACGGUACCGUAAGAAUAAGCACCGGCUAACUACGUGCCAGCAGCCGCCAUAA